GAUGAACGCUAGCUACAGGCUUAACACAUGCAAGUCGAGGGGUAGCGGGGUAGCAAUACCGCUGACGACCGGCGCACGGGUGAGUAACACGUAUCCAACCUUCCCAUAACUCGGGGAUAGCCUUUCGAAAGAAAGAUUAAUACCGGAUGGUACUUUUUCAAGGCAUCUUGAGAAAGUUAAAGAUUUAUUGGUUAUGGAUGGGGAUGCGUUCCAUUAGAUAGUUGGUGAGGUAACGGCUCACCAAGUCUUCGAUGGAUAGGGGUUCUGAGAGGAAGGUCCCCCACAUUGGUACUGAGACACGGACCAAACUCCUACGGGAGGCAGCAGUGAGGAAUAUUGGUCAAUGGGCGAGAGCCUGAACCAGCCAAGUAGCGUGAAGGAUGAAGGUCCUAUGGAUUGUAAACUUCUUUUAUAGUAGAAUAAAGUGAUCCACGUGUGGAUUUUUGUAUGUAUACUAUGAAUAAGGAUCGGCUAACUCCGUGCCAGCCGCCGCCGUAAGAC
rnacentral:rRNA from 1 species